rnacentral:lncRNA from 1 species
GUCAUCAAAAGAGUUGACAUGUUACUAUGUACAUUUACCAUUAUGUUACUUGAUGUUCUUGCAAUACACACAGUACGGUGACUAUUCAAUCUUUGUGAACUAUUUUUCAUAGGAUGGGAGUCAUUGAAUAUGCGUAUAUAAUCAAUAAUUAAAAAUAGUCUAUUUAUAUUAAAAAGGAAAAGUUCUUUUAUGUCUUAAAAAUGCAUUUCAUGGCAAGGUACAGAAAAUAUACUGUAAACAGUAGACUAUAAAUAUAGGUGAACUAGGUACAAGAGAACUCUAAAUCUUAAAUACUACAAACCACCUCUGUACUAUGGAAGAUAAUGAUAAAGCUGACUAGAAAUACACACAACCUGUAAUUAACUGCCUUUACAGCGCUUUCGCGC